UACGUAGGGGGCGAGCGUUGUCCGGAGUUACUGGGCGUAAAGCGCACGCAGGCGGUCUGUUAAGUUUGGGGUGACAGUUGCCGACUUAAUCGGCAAAGUGCCUCAAAGACUGGCGGACUUGAGGGCCACAGAGGGACAUGGAACUCCAGGUGCAGUGGUGAAAUGCGUAGAUAUCUGGAAGAACACCAAAGGCGAAGGCAGUGUCCUGGGUGGUCGCUGACGCUGAGAGGCGAAAGCCAGGGGAGCGAACGGG
rnacentral:rRNA from 1 species